CUCUCACUCAGCCAACAGGCAGGUCGGUCUCAACAUGCACCUCGGCUAUCUCGUCCUCACGGCUUUCCUGGGGCAACUGCUGGGCACCAUGGGGCAGACCACCGUCACCCAGCAAGAAGGACAAGUCACAGUAGAGGAGAGAGACACCUUCCAGACAACCUGCACAUACCAGGCCUCCUACUUUUAUGGCUUGCUCUGGUAAAAGCAGAGGAAAGGCCAAGCUCCCCAGCUGGUCUCGUAUCAGGCAGCAGCUGGCUCCAAGCAGAGCAGCCAUCUCACCACGUUGCUGAACACCACAGGGAAAUACAGCCUCCUGCAGCUGGAGGAAAUCGAGGUCUCUGACAGUGCCUUGUACCUCUGUGCAGUGCAAGACACCCUGGUGCAGGGAGCUUCCUUGGCUGUGCCACCAGCCAGGGGAGGGAGGGGAUGUGUCUAUGCAAGGGAUCUGCACUUCAAGAUCCUCUUCCAGGAGAGAACAGUGUCAGUGGCUUGA